rnacentral:rRNA from 1 species
CCUACGGGAGGCAGCAGUGAGGAAUAUUGGUCAAUGGACGAGAGUCUGAACCAGCCAAGUAGCGUGAAGGAUGACUGCCCUAUGGGUUGUAAACUUCUUUUAUAUGGGAAUAAAACGUUCCACGUGUGGGAUUUUGUAUGUACCAUAUGAAUAAGGAUCGGCUAACUCCGUGCCAGCAGCCGCGGUAAUACGGAGGAUCCGAGCGUUAUCCUGAUUUAUUGGGUUUAAAGGGAGCGUAGGUGGAUUGUUAAGUCAGUUGUGAAAGUUUGCGGCUCAACCGUAAAAUUGCAGUUGAAACUGGCAGUCUUGAGUACAGUAGAGGUGGGCGGAAUUCGUGGUGUAGCGGUGAAAUGCUUAGAUAUCACGAAGAACUCCGAUGGCGAAGGCAGUUCACUGGACUGCAACUGACACUGAGGCUCGAAAGUGUGGGUAUCAAACAGGAUUAGAUACCCUAGUAGUC